rnacentral:rRNA from 1 species
UACGGAGGGUGCGAGCGUUGUCCGGAAUCAUUGGGCGUAAAGGGCGCGUAGGUGGCCCGGUGAGUCUUUGGUGAAAGCGCGGGGCUCAACCCUGCGUCGGCCAGGGAUACUGCCGCGGCUCGAGCACUGUAGAGGCAGGCGGAAUUCCGGGUGUAGCGGUGGAAUGCGUAGAGAUCCGGAAGAACACCGGUGGCGAAGGCGGCCUGCUGGGCAGGAGGGGCGACCCUUUCAAGCUGACACUGAGGCGCGACAGCGUGGGGAUCAAACAGG